ensembl:misc_RNA
GGAUAGUGUCACUGGGAGGUGGUAAGAUUCUGUACCCUGGAGUUCUCUCCCAUUGAAUAGGCUCUGCUCAGCCCUUUGAAUGGAGUCAUUUCAGAGACCCUGGCUUUUGGGCUUCUCAUCUUUUAGGAUGGCUGCUUGUCGCAAUAUUGUCUUCCUUGCUUUAGGCAAA